rnacentral:rRNA from 1 species
UACGAAGGGGGCUAGCGUUGCUCGGAAUCACUGGGCGUAAAGCGCACGUAGGCGGAUUGUUAAGUCAGGGGUGAAAUCCUGGAGCUCAACUCCAGAACUGCCUUUGAUACUGGCGAUCUUGAGUCCGGGAGAGGUGAGUGGAACUGCGAGUGUAGAGGUGAAAUUCGUAGAUAUUCGCAAGAACACCGGUGGCGAAGGCGGCCUGCUGGGCAGUAGCUGACACUGAGGCGCGACAGCGUGGGGAGCAAACAGG